GCUGUACGGUCGGGCGGCGUGGCGUUCCCGCUGGGGCCGGAAGGGGCGGGGCUUUGACCUGUGUCGGGUUGAAAGCCCGGCUGCAACA
rnacentral:tRNA from 1 species